AGGACGAACGCUGGCGGCGUGCUUAACACAUGCAAGUCGAGCGAGGCGCCUUCUUCGGAAGGUGACCUAGCGGCGAACGGGUGAGUAACACGUGGGCAACCUGCCCUCAGCUCUGGGAUAACUCCGGGAAACCGGGGCUAAUACCGGAUAUGACUUCGGUCGACAUCGACCGGGGUGGAAAGAAUUUCGGCUGAGGAUGGGCCCGCGGCCUAUCAUGCUUGAUGGUGAGGUAACGGCCCACCAUGGCGACGACGGGUA
rnacentral:rRNA from 1 species